GCCGUUGUAGCGCAGUGGAUAGAGCGUCAGUUUCCUAAACUGAAGGUCGCGAGUUCGAAUCUCGCCAUCGGUU